CUUUUUGCCCCUAAGAUGAAUUUAUUUCUCAGAUCCAUGUCCCAGUUGCCUUGAAACAAACCAGCCCUUGUGAGGCAGGAAGCAGGGGGCCUCUGUGAGGGAGUCGUACCUGGAAGAGAGCGCCCCUCUGACCUUAGACCUCUCUCCAGAGCUUCAGAGCAGAGACCAGAGCCCAGAAAGGAGCAGAUGCUAGAUUUGCAAGAUCAGAAGCAGGUCUUGAUCCUCCUGCCCAGAAUGAACCAGACUUGAUGAUGAUGCCACCUUCAGGAGCCACCACACUGUGUGACAGUGGGGCAUUUGGGCCGUCCCUGGGAAGUACAGGAUCCAAGAAUGAUGAUCUGUGAAGAGUUUUCCAAGGUCACCUACUUCUAACUCUUUUGAAAGAUUUAAAGACAUUGGGCCUGAAAAUUUCAGUGACUUGUCCAGGGAAACGCAGUUUGUGACAGUUCACUCUCUCACAG
rnacentral:lncRNA from 1 species